CGAGUGCGAGGGCAUACAACGCCCUCGCUUUUGUAGACCCUAAGGCGGUCUACGAACAAGUGCUGGGCAAGACCGGUGCCAGCCGCCGCGGUAAUACCGGCAGCACGAGUGAUGGCCGCUAUUAUUGGGCCUAAAGCGUCCAUAGCCGGCCAGUCAAGUCUGUUGGGAAAUCGACGUGCUCAACGCGUCGGCGUCCAGCGGAAACUGACUGGCUUGGGGCCGGAAGAUCUGAGGGGUACGUCCGGGGUAGGAGUGAAAUCCCGUAAUCCUGGACGGACCGCCGGUGGCGAAAGCGCCUCAGAAAGACGGACCCGACGGUGAGGGACGAAAGCUAGGGUCUCGAACCGGAUUAGAUACCCGGGUAGUCCUAGCUGUAAACGAUGCUCGCUAGGUGUGCCGCAGGCUACGAGCCUGCGCUGUGCCGUAGGGAAGCCGAGAAGCGAGCCGCCUGGGAAGUACGUCUGCAAGGAUGAAACUUAAAGGAAUUGGCGGGGGAGCAC
rnacentral:rRNA from 1 species